rnacentral:rRNA from 1 species
ACGGGAGGCAGCAGUAGGGAAUUUUGCGCAAUGGGCGAAAGCCUGACGCAGCAACGCCGCGUGAGUGAUGAAGCCCCUCGGGGUGUAAAACUCUGUCAGUAGGGACAAAUUUUGAUGGUACCUACAGAGGAAGCAUCGGCUAACUACGUGCCAGCAGCCGCGGUAAGACGUAGGAUGCAAGCGUUGUCCGGAAUUAUUGGGCGUAAAGAGUUCGUAGGUGGCAUGUUAAGUCUAGUGUUAAAGCCCGAGGCUCAACUUCGGUUCGGCACUGGAUACUGGCAAGCUAGAGUGCGGUAGAGGCAAGGGGAAUUCCUGGUGUAGCGGUGAAAUGCGUAGAUAUCAGGAGGAACACCGGUGGCGUAAGCGCCUUGCUGGGCCGUAACUGACACUGAGGAACGAAAGCCAGGGUAGCAAAUAGGAUUAGAUACCCUGGUA